GACGAACGCUGGCGGCAUGCCUAAUACAUGCAAGUCGAGCGGAGUUAUGAAGGAGCUUGCUCUUGAUUAACUUAGCGGCGGACGGGUGAGUAACACGUAGGCAACCUGCCCUCAAGACUGGGAUAACUACCGGAAACGGUAGCUAAUACCGGAUAAUUUCUUUCCUCUCCUGAAGAGAGAAUGAAAGGCGGAGCAAUCUGCUGCUUGGGGAUGGGCCUGCGGCGCAUUAGCUAGUUGGUGGGGUAAUGGCUCACCAAGGCGACGAUGCGUAGCCGACCUGAGAGGAAGGUCCCCCACAUUGGAACUGAGACACGGUCCAA
rnacentral:rRNA from 1 species